CCUCGCAAGAGGAAUUCGGAGACAGUGCUGCAUGGCUGUCGUCAGCUCGUGUCGUGAGAUGUUGGUUAAGUCCCGCAACGAGCGCAACCCUUGUCUUUAGUUGCCAUCAUUAAGUUGGGCACUCUAAAGAGACUGCCGGUGUCAAACCGGAGGAAGGUGGGGAUGACGUCAAGUCCUCAUGGCCUUUAUGACCAGGGCUACACACGUACUACAAUGGCAGGUACAAAGGGCAGCCACUUAGCGAUAAGGCGCGAAUCCCGUAAAACCUGUCUCAGUCCGGAUUGGAGUCUGCAACUCGACUCCAUGAAGUUGGAAUCGCUAGUAAUCGCAGAUCAGCACGCUGCGGUCGAAUACGUUCCCGGGCCUU
rnacentral:rRNA from 1 species